CUGUCUGUAAAGGGUAUAAUUUACCAAUCCGAAAAUGGUUAGCUGACAUGGCCAAUUAAAUGACUGUCAGUGACUGACAAAACAAGAGAAAAACUGCUGAUGCACAUGCUCAUUUCGAAUUUACACCUUGCGUAUUCUACUAUUCUAACUCUCAACAGUAAGUUGCGACCACGACUGAGGGAGCCAAAGCGACUGAAUAUGUCACGUAUGCCUGGCACUGAAAGCUGUUCCGUCUCUGCUUUGGACACCUCCACUGUUUGACCGCAUUCAUCCUCCAUCUCCCAUGAAAUCUUGACCAAGUCUGGAAACAUGUCUCUAGCCAGACAUAGCAGGGUGAUCUUCCCAUUCGACUCAGGGUUGGACGCUGGGUAGACGGUCACUUUGGGUUUACAUUCUGAUGAGGAAGUACUGGAUGAUAAAUACGACCUGAAGAAGGGUGUCACGCCCUGACCUUAGUUAUAUGUUUUCUUUAUUAUUUUGGUUAGGUCAGGGUGUGACAAGGGUGGGUAUGUUUGUUUUGCAUUUGUCUAGGGUUUUUGUAUGUCUAGGGUGUUUGUAAGUCUAGGGGUGUUUGUAAGUCUAGGCAUAUGUAGAUCUAUGGUGGCCUGAAUUGGUUCCCAUUCAGAGGCAGCUGUUUAUCGUUGUCUCUGAUUGGGGAUCAUAUUUAGGUUGCCAUUUUCCCUUGGGUAUUUGUGGGUUCUUGUCUAUGUGUAGUUGCCUGUUCAGCACUCUUUGUAUAGCUUC
ensembl:lncRNA